CAUGGUGAUUGGGCAGUGGGGAUUCUAUAUGCAGAUAGAGUGCAGGAGCCUGUGAUGGUUAAGGUCAGUUGGAAAAUAUAGACAGAUAGAUAGAUAGAUAGAUAGAUAGAUAGAUAGAUAGAUAGAUGGCAGGGGUCUGCAAAGAUUGGGGUCAUGAGGGAGGAAAGAGCCCCUUCAGGAGAUGGAGGCUGCCACUGUGUGAAUUAGAUGAGGAAACAAGAUGAACAAGAUCUGUUAACUCAAGGAGGGAGAGGGAGGAAGAGAAGAAAGACAGAAGAGUGAGUGGAGGAGAGAGAGAGAGAAAAAGAGAGGAGGGGAAGAGAGAAAGAAGGAAGGGCGAGCAAUGGGCCUGAGCCUGUCAGCGGCCUGUGGGGAACGAGCAGCCAUGGUGGUGGUGACAGCAAGGAAGGGCCCAGUCAACCACUGCUGCUGUUUGGGGCUACCGAGGCAAUUGGCGGAGGAGGCAGGCAGGCAAGGGACGGGCCCGGGCCUGUCAGCAGCCUGAGGGGAAUGAGCGGUCAUGGCAGUGGCAGCAGUGAGGAAGGGCCCAGUCAACCACUUCUGCUGCUGCUCCUGUUUGGAGGAGCAGUAGCGGGCCUUGGAUGCAAGUGAGAAGGUCUCUGGGAAUAGGGGGCUGCAGCUUGCCAAUAGGCGCCACAAUGCUUCAGCCAUGACCAAGAAGGUUGAGGGGGAUGAAGUAAAGGGACGGAGGAGUGACCAAGAGAGGUGAGGGGGAUGGAAGCAAUGGGAUGCAGGAGGAGGAGCAGGAGUGCGACUCAGGAGAGGGUGGAGAGAUACCAGGGAUUGAACCAGAGGCCUUCUGCAUGCAAAACAUGUACUCUGCUACGUCUUAGUUUUACAUAAUCUAAACUUGUGUGUGUAAGAGCAGAAUGUGCCUUCAACUUAUUUGGGGAUAAGGCAUGUCUCAGAACUUUGGGAAAUAUUAAUUUAAGGUGAAACUGGUUGGUGCAAAAUGAGUCAUGUUGACUUUCUCAGAUGGUUCACAUCUUGCUCUAGAGAAGAACUUGUGUACUCGAACAGAUCAGAACCUCGUUAUGUUCUUAUGAGUUGUAGUCAACAACAUCUGGAAACCCCUGUUAGCGGGAACACUGCUUAUAGGUAUAAUUCACUAGAAGAGUGGAGCACUGUUAUGCUUUUGUGCAGCCCUUUAAAAUGGGAUUUGCAUUAAAGAGCUUUAUUGGUGUAUUCAGUGUCUGGUCAGCUUCCCUUAACAGAUAUGCUGCAGUUUCAAUAUAUAUGCCAUGGAAAAUAUUCUGAAGAUAGUUAAAUGUUUCUAAAGCUUUCUAUGGCUGCACAAGCGAUCAUUGUAUUCAAGAGGAUACUGAUGGCAGGUCUCUGUGCUGCUGUCUCAGAGGGAAGUAGCAACUACCUUCUGAUGUGCUCUUGGGUGGCCUCAAGGCUUCUGUUGAAAACUGAGCUUCUCAGGGUUCUGUGUAGGGGGUGUGUGAGUAAAUCCAAGGCUACGUGGGGCAAAUUUGUCUUGUUCGAUUUCAAUGGCUGAAGAGGAAGGAAUGACUUGCAGCAAAAUGGUGGGUCACACAGAUCACUAAGGGAAAUUUCAUGAAGAGCCCUGGCAUGAGGGAAGCAAACCUAGAGUAGUGAUCUGGAUAAGAUUUGGCAAUAUGCAGACACUGGCAUUCUCUUACAAGUAUUCUGCAAAUGCUGUUGAAUUUUGCUUCAGUGGGCAGAUUCUGUGAGUUUCAGAUAGCCCUCUAUCCCUUGUGUUACAAGGCAAAGUGCAAUGAACUUGUGUCACCUCCUACUAUUUCUGGGUCCAUACAUAUGCUGGAAUGAACUGGUAGAAUGGACUGUACCUCUUUCGUCUGUGAGUGGAAGUAUUUCUUUUGAGUGUCUCCCCAUGUUUCCAGGGGGGUGGGUUGCUGGGGAAGCAUGCUGCAAGCAGAAAGCUAGAACAUUAAGGCAAAAGGCCCUAAUUUGUCAGCUGCGCUAGUUUUCUAUUCUAGAGAGUUCUUGACAUUGGGCAGCAAUUCAUCACCUCAUUUCCCUCCAUGUAUAAACUAGGCCAAGAUACUGAGAUGUGCAUCUGUCACUGAAGUAUGCAUCUGUCACUGGUUUUUUGUUUGUUUGUUUGUUUGUUUCCAGGGCACUAAAUACGAGCCAGCUGAAAGCCCUCAACACUGACAUGCUUCCUGGCUACCAGGAUCCUUACUCCUCAAGGGUUUUGACCAGAGGGGAGAUUGGAUGCUUUCUUAGCCACUACUAUAUCUGGAAGGAGGUGGUAGACAGAGAGAUGGAGAAGACCCUCGUCAUUGAAGAUGACGUGUGCUUUGAGCAUCCGUUCAAGAGGAAGCUCACAAAGUUGAUGGAAGAUAUUGAGAGAGCCCAGCUUGACUGGGACCUCAUGUAAUUAGCAGUCCACCUCAUGUUGCCUGCUGAAGGUCUCCCUUCUGUGGAGCUUAGGAGUGGUCUACAGGCAUGCUUGCAAGAGCUGGCACUGGCAGCCCAAAUACUGAGUGCCAAGUACAUGAAAUAUUAUGAAACCAGGGACCUGAAAGCCUUCUCGCCGGAGCCUCUGCUGGUCUAUCCAACCCACUACACUGGGCAGCCAGGUUACCUCAGUGACACAGAGACCUCCACAAUCUGGGACAAUGAGACUGUGUCCACUGACUGGGACAGAACGCUGUCUCGAAAAACGCAGCAGCAGGGCCAGAUCCACACAGAUGCCCAGAACAAAGAUGCCUUGCCACCUCAGCCCUCUCUCAACCCAUCCUCUGCGAGAGACGAACUAUGACUGCUCACUUGGCCAUGGUGCCCUGACAAUAUCGGCAGCAAGAGCUGAACAUGCCUUGUGCUCCAUCUUUUGGUCUAGGAACCUUCAGAGAUAUCAGUGUGCUGUGUGAACUGGGAAACAAGUCAAUGGGGUCUGACUGCCUGCAAGUAAAAGAAUAGUAUGGGGAAUUCAUCAGCCUGAGUGGAUCAGGCUGGGAGACUUUGGAGAAAUGUAUUGACGGCAAGCCACAUUUUUGGCUCAAGAUAUUUUGGUGCUGCACGGUAUCUCUGAUGACUUCCUGGAAGACUUUACAGAGCAGCAUGUUUCUGCUGAGAAAGGUUCCUUGAAUGAUGACUUUCUACAGAUCAAUGUGUAGAAUUACUGUAUUUAUAAAGAUUAAUAUAUGCAGGGAUUAGGAGAGGUGCACAGGAUUUUUCAAGUUUUGAUUGCUGCUGCUGAACAUGAAUUGUUGCUAGUUUUGUGCUGUCAACCAUAUUCUUUGAGAGGAGUAAAAGGAAGGGGACCUUGUUUUCUUUUUCAAAGGGACAAUCAAAAAUUAUCUCCCCUCUCUCCCUAUCAGAGACCCUAGUCGAUCUCUGUGAUGUCAGUUCUGUGAGUCACUAAAGGCUUGGCUCCUUCCUGGAGUCAAAUCAAAACUACAAGGACUGGUGGUCGUUUCUAAGAAUAUUACAACUUGCAGUUUACAGAGCGCUUUACAGUUCACAGUCUUUCUUACCGUCAGCAUAACCCUUUGGGGAUAGGUCACUGUUGUUCCCAUUUUAUAGAUGGUGAAGUGAUGUUGAGAGGCUUAGAGCUGGGUCACACAUGUUCUUAUUAAGUAUCAAGUGGUGAUUUGCAUGUGUGACAGAUUAACUCCCACAGGCAGAACUUUCCC